GACAUAACAUGAGCAACAGAGGGAGAAGAAGAAAGAGAGGAGAAGAAGUGUUGCCGAUCGUUGCCGUUUCCCCCCGAUCGUCCGUUGCCGAUAGUUCGCCGUUCACCGAACUGUUGAGUCAGAUCUGUUGAUACCGAUUGAAAGAGACCGAGAUGGGAAGUAAAGAUGAAUUAAUGGAGGCUCUCAAGAAGGAAGUUGUUGAUUUGGAGAACAUACCGAUUGAAGAGGUUUUUUCGAAUUUAAGAUGUACCAAAGAGGGACUCUCACGUGAGUCUGCUGAACAGAGACUUGCCAUUUUGGGCAUAACAAACUUGAAGAAAAGAAGGAGAGUAAGAUUUUGAAGUUUUUGGGGUUUAUGUGGAACCCUCUUUCGUGGGUCAUGGAAGCUGCAGCUAUUAUGGCCAUCGCCCUUGCCAACGGAGGAGUAAGCACUGGUUCUUUGUUGCCUUUUUGUUUGGUUGCUGAGAAAAGUUUAGACAGGUUUUGUAUUGUUUUCUAGGAAAAAAAAGAAGGAAAUUGGUCGGCAAAUUUUUUUUGGAGAAAUUUCUGAAAACACUUUUCUGAGUUUAUUAAUUUUGAUUUAUCAUCUAGGAUGUUAAAGUGUUAUUCUGUAUAUAUAUAUACACAUACAUCUCCAAUUUUUGAACCUCAGUUUUUUUUUUUUGAAUGGUUACUGGUGUUCUGGGUGUUUGAAGUGUUUGUAUUGUUGUUCAAAAAUAUGAGAUGUAUGUAUACAUCUGGGUGUUUAAAGUGUUUGUAUGUAUAUCUGAGAUCUAUAUAUUGAAGUGUUUGUACUGUUGUUUGUCUUGCUCUGGGUGUUCUGGGUCCUCUCCUCUCUCUCAUCCUGGCUGCUUCUUUCUUCUUCUUCUUCUCCUCCUCUGAUUCUGAUUCUGAUUCUGUGUUUUCGUUUAUUUAUUUUUUGGAAAUUUUGCCCCCAAAACGACGUUAUUUUGGGGCACCGUAGGGAGCUGCCGGAGGAAAAUGCGACAGAGGAUCCAGAUUCACGAUAAGGGUGAUGAUGAGCUCGGCCAGAGUAUUAUUUUAGUAGAGAGUAUUGUUUUAGUGGAUUUUGAAAAGGUGAAUAUUAAAAGAAUAGUAAAUAAUUUGGGUGAUGAAUUGAUUUAGAAAAUUAAUGUGUGGUUGAGAUUAAGUGUGAAUUUUACCAUAUAAAAAUUGAAUAUGGAUUAUAUAUUGUUUUUUAUAUAUAAUUUUGAGUACUUUUGUAUAACUAUGAAAAAUUAUUGGGAU